rnacentral:rRNA from 1 species
GACGAACGCUGGCGGCGUGCUUAACACAUGCAAGUCGAACGGAAAGGCCCUGCUUUUGUGGGGUGCUCGAGUGGCGAACGGGUGAGUAACACGUGAGUAACCUGCCCUUGACUUUGGGAUAACUUCAGGAAACUGGGGCUAAUAUCGGAUAGGAUCUCCUGCUGCAUGGUGGUGGUUGGAAAGUUUCGGCGGUGGGGGAUGGACUGGCGGCUUAUCAGCUUGUUGGUGGGGUAGUUGCUUACCAAGCCUUUGACGGGUAGCCGGCCUGAGAGCGGGGCCGGGCACAAUGGGACUGCGAUACGGCGCAGAAUCCUACGGGAGGCAGCAGUGGGGAACAUUGCGCAGCGGCCGGAAGCCUGAUGCAGCAACGCCGCGUGCGGGAUGACGGCCUUCGGGGUGUAAACCGCUUUCGACUGUGACGAAGCGUGAGUGACGGUAAUGGGUAAAAAAGCACCGGCUAACUACGUG